GCACUGCUGAAGAGUCCCGUAGUGAGACGAAACGGCCGUCCAGUGC
rfam:Schistosoma margrebowiei strain Zambia genome assembly, scaffold: SMRZ_contig0003509